CUGGAGGACUAAGAAGACUGAGUCUGAUGAAGCAAGACUCUGCUGAUAUAAUCCUCCUAGACAAAAGGGGUGGGAGAGAGCAGCCCUUAUGGAGAGCAGACUAGGAUGUCAGCCCAGCAAAU
rnacentral:snoRNA from 1 species